UCGAGUCCUGGUGAAAGAUAUUAAACUAUUAGGGAGUGUCAAAGGAGAGUCACAGGAUGGUGAAGGGCCUUGAAGGGAAGCCAUAUGAGGAGCAGCUGACAGCACUUGGUCUGUUCUGCCUGAGCAAGAGGAGACUGAGGGGAGACCUCUUCAGUUACAACUUCCUUGUGAGGGGAAGAGGAGGGACAGGCACUGGUCUCUGUUGACCAGUGGUGGGACUAAGGGAAUAGCCUGAAAUUGUGUCAGGGGAGGUUUAGUUUGGAUAUCAGGAAAGGGUUCUUCACCCAAAGGGUGGUUGGGCACUGGAAGAGGCUCCCCAGGAAAGUGGCCACAGUAUCAAACCUGACAGAGUUCAACAGGUAUUUUGGACAGCACUUUCAGGUACAUGGCAGCAUCCUUGUCCUGUGCAGGACUAAGAGUGGGACUCAAUGAUCUUUGUAAGUCUCUUCCAACUCAACAUAUUCUGUGAUUUUGUAAUCUAGAGUUCCAGACAUGCAUCAUCCAGGAAACUAUUUAAGUUUUCAAAAUAUUUUUACUCUCUGGUAGGUGUUGGUCCUCUAGCAAACACAUUGUUCUUGUUUUGGCUGGGAUAGGGUUAAUUUUCUUCAUAUUGACUGGUAUGGGUCUAUGUUUUCCAUUUGUGCUGGAACAGUGUUGAUAACACAGGGAUAUUUUCAUUAUCACUGAGCAGUGCUUGCACAGCACAGAGUCAUUUUCUGCCUCUCAUACCACCCCAGCAGCAAGGAUUUGUGACAGCUGACCCCAGCUGACCGGAGGGAUAUUCCACAUCCUAAGGUAUCGUGCUCAGCAUAUAAAGAUGAGGGAAGAAGAAGGAACUAGUUUACUCAUGAUGGAGCCCUGCUGUCCUGAACAUGGCUGAACACCUACCAGUCCAUGGGAAGUGGUGAAGGAAUUCCUUGUUUUGUUUUGCAUUUUUUUUUUAAUCAAAAAUGACAAAUGUUUGAAUAUUUUGGGCAGUUUUCCACUUGGUCAGCAAACAGUUUAAUAUGCCUAACACCCACAAGAAAUCAGAUUGUGUGGAGCAGCUCUCAAUCAAACCCUAAGUAGUCACUGGGAUGGAAUUCACAGCAGGCUCAAAACCAUCCUCUCCACACCCCUGUGAAAGAGGCUGGAGAGGAAAAUAACUGCUGGGUGCUCACCUCAUACAAAGCUGUUGAGGUUUCCAGUUGCUUUACAGCAGACUCCAUCUGAAGAGACUUUAAGUUUGACACCUUAAAGAUGCUGAUUUUAAGCACAACUUUGUGUUUGGCCCAUACAAGAGGUUGUUCCCACUGCACCAAGUCCACAAUUUAAAAAGGCAACUCUUACAAGCCAUGCCUCUCUGUGGUUUUCUAGUCACCCUUUAGCCAUCCUCCUCCUGUGGUGGCAUUUUCCUGGCUCUGAAAAACAACAUUAUGUUCCAAUAUAUUUCCUGCCUGAGAAAAUGCCACCCCACUUGCCAGUUUUGCUGCCCUCCAGCUGGCCAUGUUUCUCCACGCCUGUCACUGUCUACUGUUGUGCGGGAACGGCCGGAUUUGAAGGGGAGGGAGAACCAUUUGGCAUUAGCUUCCACUCCAACUUCCCAUUUUCCCGAUGAGCAAGCCUGUGAGAGCAGCCUUUUGCUCUUCUCUAAUGUGCAGCAUGUAAAGGACCACAAGACUCAGAAGACAGGUGGAAAAAAGCCUUGGCAAUGGGAUUUCAUUAAGCAUAUGCCCAAACCAAAAGUGAUGAGAGUUGGUGCACCUUUUUCUGGGCUUUUGUGAGAUGGACCCUUGGCCUGAAAGGACAAUCUACAAUAAGGACAAGAUCAGUAUCAGCCCACCACUGAAAAUGGAAAACUACUUGGAUGCAUCAGCUCUGGGGUCACAUAUUUGGAAAUUUGUACAAGCCACUAAGUAAAUCAAAGCAAGUUAUUUCUGGAAACAUCCCUUUGUGGAGCAAAGGAGGAAAUUACCUCUCUGCUUCUACCUCUGUAUUUCCCAUCCUGAUCUUCUGGCAGAGCAGAGAGAGAGGCACCUUUAGCAAGAAGGGGAAGAAGCAUCCUACAUUCCCAGCAUACCAGUGGGGUACAUGCUGAUGACAUCUAAGAAGGGGGAGAUGUCCAGAACCUGCUCCACGCUUCUCUUCCCCAAAAGUUAUGGCAUUUAUUUGUGAAUGGAUUCAAGGAAGUAUUUUGAGAUAUCCCUGAUGAUAAGAACAUUUGGGGCACCAGCACUGUAGAUCAUGCCCAGGGUCAUGAGUUUUCUUCAUGAGCUGUAAAACCUCACCACAGAAUCAGAGACUCACAGAACAUCCUGAAUUGAAAGGGACCCACAAGGAUCUUUAAAUCCAGCUCUUGGCCCUGCACAGAACAACCCCAAGAAUCACACCAUAUCUGGAACUUGUGAGAGUAUUUUUUUAAAAAGAGAGCUUUUUCCUUGUGCUUAUUA